UACGUAGGGGGCUAGCGUUGUCCGGAAUCAUUGGGCGUAAAGCGCGUGUAGGCGGCCCGGUAAGUCCGCUGUGAAAGUCGGGGGCUCAACCCUCGAAUGCCGGUGGAUACUGUCGGGCUAGAGUACGGAAGAGGCGAGUGGAAUUCCUGGUGUAGCGGUGAAAUGCGUAGAUAUUGGGAGGAACACCAGUGGCGAAGGCGGCUCACUGGACCGGAACUGACGCUGAGGCGCGAAAGUGUGGGGAGCGAACAGG
rnacentral:rRNA from 1 species